rnacentral:rRNA from 1 species
CUCUUGACAUCCAGCGAACUUUCCAGAGAUGGAUUGGUGCCUUCGGGAACGCUGAGACAGGUGCCGCAUGGCUGUCGUCAGCUCGUGUUGUGAAAUGUUGGGUUAAGUCCCGNAACGAGCGCAACCCUUAUCCUUUGUUGCCAGCGAUUCGGUCGGGAACUCAAAGGAGACUGCCGGUGAUAAACCGGAGGAAGGUGGGGAUGACGUCAAGUCAUCAUGGCCCUUACGAGUAGGGCUACACACGUGCUACAAUGGCGCAUACAAAGAGAAGCGACCUCGCGAGAGCAAGCGGACCUCAUAAAGUGCGUCGUAGUCCGGAUCGGAGUCUGCAACUCGACUCCGUGAAGUCGGAAUCGCUAGUAAUCGUGGAUCAGAAUGCCACGGUGAAUACGUUCCCGGGCCUUGUACACACCGCCCGUCACACCAUGGGAGUGGGUUGCAAAAGAAGUAGGUAGCUUAACCUUCGGGAGGGCGCUUACCACUUUGUGAUUCAUGACUGGGGUGAAGUCGUAACAAGGUAGGCGUAGCGAG